rnacentral:lncRNA from 1 species
GUAACAGAGUCUAGCUCAGGGAUUGCAUUUUCAUGUAUAAAUCUUCCCGUAACAGCAAGGAUCUAUAUUUGGCUUGAGAAAUGAUUGAUGUUCCCUUUGAGAAAACGCUUUUUAAAGAUACACACAUUUGUUCAUGGGUGUGCCUGAAGUUCUGGGAAUGAAGCAGAGCCGUGGAGAGCCAGCUCAGUGGUUAUGAGGAAGUUAUUAAGACUCUCCAUCCUGACCUUGCCAUGGCUGAAAAUAAAUAGCAGCCUUCCUUAGAGAUUUCUGGAAAAAAAAUAAUAAAACUCAGGAGGAGGGGCUGUGACUAAGGUGUCAUGAAUCCAGUUUUCCUGACCGGAUAGGAAGGUCAUGAACAAGGAUGCGACAUUUAAAAUAUCAGUCGUUUCUUCAGAAACAGACUCACAGACAGAAGAGAACAGUGUGAUUGCUGAGGAGAAGGGGUUAUAUGGAUCGGAAGUUUGGGAUUUGCAGAUGCAAACUACUCUAUAUAGAAUGGAUAAAACAAGGUGGGGAACUAUAUUCAAUAUACUGUAAUAAACCAUAAUAGAAAAGAAAAUGAAAAAGCUGAAUAAUUUUGCUGUACAGCUGAAACUAACCCAACAUUGUAAAUCAACUAUACUUCAAUAAAACACAUUUCAAAAAUAAAUUAUGUCUCCUU